rnacentral:lncRNA from 1 species
CCCUCCCCUCCCCUCCUCUCUCUCUCUCUCUCUCUCUCUCUCUCUCUCUCUCAUCUCUCUCUCAUCGUUCCUUGGAACCGGUCGAUGGGACCGACGCCGCUCUCGCCGGCGAAGAGCUUGUCGUAGUAGGCGUUCACGUCGUUGCCGAAGACGGAGACGCAGCCUAGGCCGGUGAUGACCACGCGCUUCUUGGGGUCCUUCUCGCGCGUGGGGGCGGAGACGGUUGAGGCGGAGAUGAAGGAGACGCGUCUAGGGGCGGGUUUGGGAGUGAGGUUGGGGAAGUGGGCCCGCUUGCGGAGCGGGUCGAGCGGGGCGGGUCGGAGCGUGGAGGAUUGAAUGGCUUGCAUGGUGGUGGAGAGUGAGAGUAGUGAAGAGUGGUGGCGACGCCAACGAGGUGAGAGUUUGAAUCGGAGAGAAGAGAGAGAGAGAGGGUGGGGGGGGGGGGGGGGGCGGUUGGAUUGGGUUUUGUAGGAGGAGAGACACCUCGUUGUUUUCAGCUGCGCUGCUAUAUCCACGCCGCGUCACUCUGCAGCAGAAAACCUUUACCAGGCAAGUUGUAUAUAUUAAUCACAUUGUUGUGUAACUUAUGCAAUCCUCUCUGUGCUUAUUAAGCUGUACGUGGUUUUUCAUUGAAAACAACAAGAGGAUUACUAGAUUGCUUGACCGUUUUUAGGUGAAAAAAUAAGGAGCUCCUUGUUGAAUACCAGUGGAAGACCACUAUGGUUUGUCCAAGGCUGAGUGAAGCUAGUAGGUUUUAUUGCUUUAAUAGCUUGAUUCUUUUUCAUAAAUCCUUGACAUUUUAUAUUUUUUAAAUGACAUAAAUGGAAUGGGUUGAAACCCUUGGGGAAAUCUUAUAAUGCAGGUUUAGCCCUAUCUGUCACACAUCAUUCCUUGUUUAUUUGUAGUUUGUGGAAGCAUGGUGAUGUCUUUGCUUGUUGUUUUACUUUUUAUAUGACUGUUUCCUCCAAAUAUAUUUUCAUUCCCUGCAAUGCUAUAAUUGCACGCAUAGAUUGGAAUUUGAACUUCUUGGGAUUGGUUAUUAUUAGAGCUUAACCUGCUUGAGGUAUCCAAUAAAAGGAACAAAUAGAAGAUUCUGUUGUGAUCGCAUCUGUGCCACUUCUGCUUUUCAUAACUUGCCUUUUUUAUUGUACGUGUUUGUCAUGGUGUUGAGUUUCAUGUAUGUUAAUUCCCUGCAGACCUGAAAUUGA